rnacentral:rRNA from 1 species
AGAGUUCGAUUAUGGCUCAGGAUGAACGCUAGCGACAGGCUUAACACAUGCAAGUCGAGGGGCAUCAUGAGGUAGCAAUACCUUGAUGGCGACCGGCGCACGGGUGAGUAACGCGUAUGCAACCUGCCUGAUACCGGGGUAUAGCCCAUGGAAACGUGGAUUAACACCCCAUAGUACUUUUAUCCUGCAUGGGAUGUGAGUUAAAUGUUUAAGGUAUCGGAUGGGCAUGCGUCCUAUUAGUUAGUUGGCGGGGUAACAGCCCACCAAGACGAUGAUAGGUAGGGGUUCUGAGAGGAAGGUCCCCCACAUUGGAACUGAGACACGGUCCAA